rnacentral:rRNA from 1 species
AGCAUAUCAAUAAGCGGAGGAAAAGAAACCAACAGGGAUUGCCCUAGUAACGGCGAGUGAAGCGGCAACAGCUCAAAUUUGAAAUCUGGCUCUUUUAGGGUCCGAGUUGUAAUUUGUAGAGGGCGCUUUGGCGUUGGCAGCGGUCUAAGUUCCUUGGAACAGGACGUCACAGAGGGUGAGAAUCCCGUACGUGGUCGCUUGUCUUCGCCGUGUAAAGCCCCUUCGACGAGUCGAGUUGUUUGGGAAUGCAGCUCUAAAUGGGAGGUAAAUUUCUUCUAAAGCUAAAUAUUGGCCAGAGACCGAUAGCGCACAAGUAGAGUGAUCGAAAGAUGAAAAGCACUUUGGAAAGAGAGUCAAAAAGCACGUGAAAUUGUUGAAAGGGAAGCGCUUGCAGCCAGACUUGCCUGUAGUUGCUCAUCCGGGAUUCUUCCCGGUGCACUCUUCUGCGGGCAGGCCAGCAUCAGUUCAGGCGGCUGGAUAAAGACCUAUGUCAUGUAGCUCUCUUCGGGGAGUGUUAUAGGGUAGGUGGAAUGCAGCCAGCUUGAACUGAGGUCCGCGCAUCUGCUAGGAUGCUGGCGUAAUGGCUGUAAGCGGCCCGUCUUGAAACACGGACCAAGGAGUCUAACAUCUAUGCGAGUGUUUGGGUGUCAAGCCCGAGCGCGUAAUGAAAGUGAACGGAGGUGGGAACCCCUCGGGGUGCACCAUCGACCGAUCCUGAUGUCUUCGGAUGGAUUUGAGUAAGAGCAUAGCUGUUGGGACCCGAAAGAUGGUGAACUAUGCCUGAAUAGGGUGAAGCCAGAGGAAACUCUGGUGGAGGCUCGCAGCGGUUCUGACGUGCAAAUCGAUCGUCAAAUUUGGGCAUAGGGGGCGAAAGACUAAUCUAAACUAUCUAAUUAGCUCGUUCCUGCCGAGUUU